CCCGCCCCUUUCAGAUCCGUCAGAGGCUCCGCCCACCGAGCAGCCGGAUGAAGGCGAAAAGCGAUUGGCUGAGAUGUUGCCCCACCUCCGCGACUUCGCCAACCAAUGCCGGAGCCGCAUCGAGGCUUGGCCCCGCCUCCAGGCGCUGGUCAGCCAAUGGUGGGAGCAGCCGGCGCAGUGGGUCCUGGCCACGCCCCCCGGGAGCGUCCCCUUCUCUCAUUGGUUGGAACGCUGGGCACGUGCUACCCGUAGCCACGCCCCUUCCGGACUGCAGAGCAAGCCCCGCCCCUGAGGGAAGAGUGCCGGCGGGGGGCACUGUGCGCUGUGAUUGGCUGAGCGGAGCGUCAAUAAACGAUUGCAACCAAUGGGAGUGUGGUGCGGGAGGGGCUUGAAAAGGACAGCCAAUGGGAGUGUUGUGGGGGAGGGGCUUCACGGGGACAACCAAUGGGAGUUUGUGGGUGGGGCUUUACGGGGAUAGCCAAUGGAAUUGCUGUGGAGGAGGGGCUUUGCGAGGACAACCAAUGGGAGUGUGGUGGGGGUGGGGCUUCACGGGGACAACCAAUGGGAGCGUGGGGGCGGGGCUUCUGGAAAUAAGCCCAUUAAUUACUGCAUCAAUGGCAUGAGUCCAAUUAAGAUGCCGUAAUUAAAGCAGGACCUACGGAAACUGCAUGUAAGCAAACCCAGGUCCCCACUAAUUACCUCGCUAAUGAGAUGGGCCCAAUUAUGAGUCCAUAAUUGAAGUAGGACCUACAGAUACCCCACAUAAAGAAACUCGGACCCCCAUUAAUCACCUCGCUAACGAGAUGAGCCCAAUUAAGACGCCGUAAUUAAGUAGGACCUACAGAAACCCCAACGAGCUCGGAUCCCUAUUAAUCACCUUGCUAACGAGACGGACCCCGUGACGCCAUUCAUUAAUUAAAGCAGACGCCACACCAAACCCCGACGUAACCAAAACCCCCUUUGGCCCUUUAAUUCCAACUCCACCGCCAUUUUGGUAGGCCCUACAAAAUCCAAGAUGGCGGCCAGGAUGAACUGCAAUCCAAGAUGGCAGCCACGAUGAAGAUGGCAGCCAUGAAAACCCCAAUCCAAGAUGGCAUCCACGAUAAACCCGAGUCCAAGAUGGCGGCCAUGAUGAACUACAAUCCAAGAUGGCAGCCACAAAACCCAAAUCCAAGAUGACGGCCAUAAUGAACCCGAAUCCAAGAUGGCGGCCAUGAUGAACUGCAAUCCAAGAUGGCGGCCAC